rnacentral:rRNA from 1 species
AGAGUUUGAUCCUGGCUCAGGAUGAACGCUAGCGGCAGGCCUAACACAUGCAAGUCGAGGGGUAUAUGGUGCUUGCACCAUAGAGACCGGCGCACGGGUGCGUAACGCGUAUGCAAUCUACCUUGUACAGGGGAAUAGCCCAGGGAAACUUGGAUUAAUGCCCCAUAGUAUUAUUUUGUAGCAUUACAUUAUAAUUAAAGAUUUAUCGGUACAAGAUGAGCAUGCGUCCCAUUAGUUAGUUGGUAAGGUAACGGCUUACCAAGACAGCGAUGGGUAGGGGCCCUGAGAGGGGGAUCCCCCACACUGGUACUGAGACACGGACCAGACUCCUACGGGAGGCAGCAGUGAGGAAUAUUGGACAAUGGGCGGAAGCCUGAUCCAGCCAUGCCGCGUGCAGGAAGACGGCCCUAUGGGUUGUAAACUGCUUUUGUACGGGAAGAAACACCCCCACGUGUGGGGACUUGACGGUACCGUAAGAAUAAGCAUCGGCUAACUCCGUGCCAGCAGCCGCGGUAAUACGGAGGAUGCAAGCGUUAUCCGGAAUCAUUGGGUUUAAAGGGUCCGUAGGCGGACAAUUAAGUCAGAGGUGAAAGUCUGCGGCUCAACCGUAGGACUGCCUUUGAUACUGGUUGUCUUGAAUCGUUGUGAAGUGGUUAGAAUGAGCAGUGUAGCGGUGAAAUGCUUAGAGAUUGCUCAGAAUACCGAUUGCGAAGGCAGAUCACUAACAACGUAUUGACGCUGAGGGACGAAAGCGUGGGGAGCGAACAGGAUUAGAUACCCUGGUAGUCCACGCCGUAAACGAUGGAUACUAGCUGUCCGGUCUUCGGACUGGGUGGCCAAGCGAAAGUGAUAAGUAUCCCACCUGGGGAGUACGUUCGCAAGAAUGAAACUCAAAGGAAUUGACGG